rnacentral:rRNA from 1 species
AUUGAACGCUGGCGGCAGGCUUAACACAUGCAAGUAGAACGAGUGGCGGACGGGUGAGUAAUGCUUGGGAAUCUAGCUUAUGGAGGGGGAUAACUACGGGAAACUGUAGCUAAUACCGCGUACCAUAGGAUGAGCCCAAGUGGGAUUAGGUAGUUGGUGAGGUAAAGGGUCACCAAGCCGACGAUCUCUAGCUGGUCUGAGAGGGUGACAAGCAACACGGGGAUGGAGACACGGCCCAGACUCCUACGGGAGGCAGCAGUGGGGAAGAUUGCGCAAUGGGGGCAACCUGACGCAGCCAUGCCGCGGGAAUGAAGAAGGCCUUCGGGUUGUAAAGUUCUUUCGGUAGCGAGGCGUUAACUACAGAAGAAGCACCGGCUAACUCCGUGCCAGCAGCCGCGGUAAUUC